UACAGAGGUCUCAAGCGUUGUUCGGAUUCAUUGGGCGUAAAGGGUGUGUAGGUGGCGCCGUAAGUCGGGUGUGAAAUUUCGGAGCUUAACUCCGAAACUGCAUUCGAUACUGCGGUGCUUGAGGACUGGAGAGGAGACUGGAAUUCAUGGUGUAGCAGUGAAAUGCGUAGAUAUUGGGAGAAACACCAGUGGCGAAGGCGGCUACCUGGACCGGUUCUGACGCUGAUGCGCGAAAGCGUGGGUAGCAAACAGG
rnacentral:rRNA from 1 species